UAUGGGAAGAACAUCUGACCACUUCAGUUCAGGACAAGGUACCUGCAUAAAUCGUUUGUUCAUAGGUUGUGCAUACAGUUACGCCAUAUUGGCUUUGCUCUAAGUUUUUCGACUAGCGGGACGGCUAUUCUUGUGCGAUUUACAAAUAAUUUCUGAUUUCCUGAUUUUAGAGUUUGAUAUUCAGAGUUUCAUGUUCUUUGUUGAACAUUUUUAAACAUGGCUUCUCCGAAAUUAGAAGAAGUGCCAUUUAAAAUGUGGAGAAAUUAUAUAAAAGGCGUAAGUGCUGAAAAUACUACAGAGGAGCUUCUAUUAUCGAAUUAUUAUCGGUUUCCUGAAGUAUGUUCAGCGACAGUUAAAUAUUGGUAUAAAAUUUUCAAUAUUCUUGAUUGGAAAUAUAAUAAGCAGUCGCCCGGAAAGCAAAAGAUCCGUGGUUCGAGUCUUGGUCCAGUCAGUCCAACGGAUCAAUUUUUUAACGAAUCGUAUACAGUUGUCUCCGAUGUAUUGUCGCAGUCGGUCAGUGAAGAAUAGACCGAGUGUUUUUUGAUAAUGGGCCCAGUAGGGCGCACGUACACCCCCGUAGGGAUCCGCCUAGUGGAAGUGCGAACGUUAGCACUUGUUAAUUCUCUACAGGACUAGGGCGUAAACCUUUACAUAACUACGGCGCUCAUUUCGAAUAUUGGUUUAUAGUCUACGAUCGAUUCCAAUCGUACAAAAAUAAAGUGUAUUUUUAUUAGAUUAAUAAAUGAUUUAAUGUGUGCGAUUACAUGACGUCUCUUGUUUCAAGAAAUGAGAAACCAGUUUUAUGUAAGAUUAUAAAACGACCUUGAACUCGAAGAAUGAUAUCAUUUAUAAUGAACGAAGAAAACAAAUAUCACGAUAAGAUCAUUUGCCAACAGUAAUAAUGAACGUUUUAUUCUCGUGUCAAUCUACGAGUUCAAAGUUUUUACUUUAUACUUUUCACGAUAUUUUAUUUUUGAAGUGAAAACUUUUUUAGAAUCGUUGUGUUUUACAACUCGACGAAACGAAGAAACCACACGGAAAAGAGAGCAGACAUUUACAUUUAUAAUCGUUUCGUUAUUUCGUUAUCCACGAAAAUUUAAUAAAUUACACACCAGAAGUAUCAUCGCGGAUUCUUAAAAAAGAUUGCUUUAAAACUCCAAUAAUUUCAAUAUGUGGGGAUUUCAAUGUGAAUUUAGCAUCGGAUACAGCGUUCCCUUUGAUUGAGUUCCUGAACACCAAAUUAAAUUUAAUAAUGUGCAGCAGCAAGACUGAAUCGACAAUAUAAUCGAAAACAGUUAUUGACGCUGUAUUUCAAAGAUAUAUUAAUCAAAUUCAAACCAAAGCAUUUCUUUCAUACUUUAGAUACCAUAAGCUACUCGUAUCAUUUGUUGAAAUUGAAAACUUGAAGUCUGUAUAAUGUGUGUAAUAUAUGUAGUAUACGUAGAAUAAAAUGUAAACAUUCGUCUUAUUCCCUCAAAGUUUAGUUUUCUGAAGGUUUAAACACUUCUACCGCGUGUGAACUGCGCAUUUCUUAGUGUUCAUACCAGGUUCAAGUGUGACAGUACAAAAAAAUAUUUGUACGGUACCUUCCCAGCCAGCAAAUGGUUAUCGGCAAUUAUAUAAGUUACAAUGUCAAUUACAACAAAGCAAUUGCGACGUACAGGAGGGUACAAAAUUACCAACUUCAUCUCUUUUAAUUUAUACCUGCAAUCCUGGAUACAAAAUAAGCAAUUCCAGUGAUGUAUUUUGUGAUCCAGAAGGAAACUGGUUAAAUAUUCCAGUUUGUACAGAAAUACGUUGCCAGUCAUUGGCUUCAGCAUCGCAUCGACUAACGCUCAAUGUACAUUGAAUGGUGAAUGGGUAUCUUGUGAAUCUCCUGUUUUGCCUGGAACCAUCGCAGAACUCAGCUGUCGCAGCAAUUAUCAGGAAUUUGGAAAAGUUCAAUUGAAACAAAAAAAUCAAGUUACAUGUAACGACACUGGUCAUUGGGAACCCAAACCAAUAAGA
rnacentral:lncRNA from 1 species